UAGAGCAUUGUGAAUGAACUAAGAGGC
rnacentral:piRNA from 1 species